GAUGAACGCUAGCGGGAGGCCUAACACAUGCAAGCCGAGCGGUAGAGUUCCUUCGGAAACUUGAGAGCGGCGCACGGGUGCGUAACACGUGUGCAACCUACCUUUAUCUGGGGGAUAGCCUUUCGAAAGGAAGAUUAAUACCCCAUAAUAUAAUGAUUGGCAUCAAUUAUUAUUGAAAACUCCGGUGGAUAGAGAUGGGCACGCGCAAGAUUAGAUAGUUGGUGAGGUAACGGCUCACCAAGUCAAUGAUCUUUAGGGGUCCUGAGAGGGAGAUCCCCCACACUGGUACUGAGACACGGACCAGACUCCUACGGGAGGCAGCAGUGAGGAAUAUUGGACAAUGGGUGAGAGCCUGAUCCAGCCAUCCCGCGUGAAGGAUGACGGUCCUAUGGAUUGUAAACUUCUUUUGUACAGGGAUAAACCUACCCUCGUGAGGGUAGCUGAAGGUACUGUACGAAUAAGCACCGGCUAACUCCGUG
rnacentral:rRNA from 1 species